AGUUUGCAGUCCAUCAUCCAGGGAAGUCCGUGCAGAAACUCAAGGCAGGAACCAGGAGGCAGGGACCGAUGCAGAGACCAUGCAGUAAGCAGAGGGGUGGGCGCUGCUUACUGGCUUGCUCCUCAUGGCUUGCUCAGACUGCUUUUUUUUAUAGAACCCAGGGACAGCACCAACCACAGUAGGCUGGACUGCUGUGGAAUAAUCCUUUUGUACACUGUGAAGAUUUGUCACUGUGAUUGGUUUACUAAAAAGCUAACUGGCAUGUAGCCAGGCAGGAAGUCUAUGCAGGACAACCAAACUAAGGACUGGGGAGUAGGGCAGGGUGAGAGGAGCUGCCAGCAGAAGUAGAAGAAGCAGGACGUGUAGAAAAUGAGACAGGGGCUCUUUCUGUACCUCAGUGUUGUGGAAUGCUGUCCAGACACCCUAUCAGCCAUUACCAUCUUAAUUAAACUUUUUAUAACAGAGAGAUAGGCCAGCUGCUGGCCCCACCCCAUUUCCUCCAAGAAGACUGGUGGGCACUGAAGAAACUCCACCCACAAAAGUGGCAACGCUAGCCAUUGAUCGAUCCUGCCUUUCACCUCAACUGCUGCAAAGGACUUUUCAGACCAUGGACAAGAGGACAGUAGAAUCAACUUUCUCCAUGUUGCUUGGGCCAAUGGUAGGCAAGUCUUCCUAAAAUUCCUAAUCCACAGGUCCCAUGCUAUCAGCAGAAGGCAGGUCUUCUUAAAGCGGCUGCCCUCAACAACUACGGAGGACCUUGGGAGAGGCUGUCCAUGCAGUCAGCUAGUAAGUCUCUGUUAUUCUUUAAUCAUUAACUCAGGUAAAAUGUUAUCCUUCUCAAGAACUCUGAUGCUUUUGACGACUGGUAGCUUUGCCAGCUUAAAGCAACAGGCAAAGCUCCAACUGUCACAAAACAGAUUUCAGGAACAGGUAUUUUAGGGUUUAUCUAUGUGAAGAUGGUAAUAAGGUCUAAAUAUAAAUACAAGUUAUGAAAGUCUGAAGAUAAAAAGGCUUAAGCGAUGACAAAUAAAGUGAGUUGAGACAUUCAAAAGAGUGAAACACCUUCCAGAUUUCUCUUUCUCAUUAUGGUAAUGUUCAUAGUCUUAACAUUAAUCAGUAAAGUUUUAAUAAGCGACUAAUCCAACUCUGACAGAGUACAAAACCUCAUAUUAUACCACUUUAUGAUAACUGCAAAGUUAAAGUCAAGGUUCUUCUCAUUGUCCUAAAAAUAUGUGUCAGUUUUAAAAAUGUUAAUACUUUCAGCCAAGUUGUUUCUAACACAAAUAAGCUGCCAAUGUGUCUAAUACGUACGUUUUCACGAACUCAAAG
rnacentral:lncRNA from 1 species